GCUGGGUGUAGUGGCUCACACCUGUAAUCCCAGCAUUUUGGGAGGCUGAGGUGGGUGGAUCACCUGAGGUCAGGAGUUCAAGACCAGCCUGGCCAACAUGGUGAAACCUCAUCUCUA
ensembl:misc_RNA Metazoa_SRP Metazoan signal recognition particle RNA